rnacentral:rRNA from 1 species
UUGGAGGGCAAGUCUGGUGCCAGCAGCCGCGGUAAUUCCAGCUCCAAUAGCGUAUAUUAAAGUUGUUGCAGUUAAAAAGCUCGUAGUUGAAUUUCGGGGUUCUACCGUUGGUCGGGCUUUGUCUGUACUGGUGUGUAGAAUUUCUACCUUCUGGGGAACCAUCAUGCUAUUAAUUUAGCGUGGUGGGAAACCAGGACCUUUACCUUGAAAAAAUUGGUGUGUUCAAAGCAGGCUUAUGUCUGAAUACAUCAGCGUGGAAUAAUAGAAUAGGACGGUGGUCCUGUUUUGUUGGUUUCUGAAUCACCGUAAUGAUUAAUAGGGAUAGUUGGGGGCAUUAGUAUUCAAUUGUCCGAGGUGAAAUUCUUGGAUUUAUUGAAGACUAACUUCUGCGAAAGCAUUUGCCAAGGAUGUUUUCAUUAAUCAAGAACGAAAGUUAGGGGAUCGAAGACGAUCAGAUACCGUCGUAGUCUUAACCAUAAACUAUGCCGACUAGGGAUCGGACGAUGUUAAUUUUUCUUGACUCGUUCGGCGCCUUACGGGAAAC